rnacentral:rRNA from 2 species
AAUCCUAGAUAGGGGAUCACUCGGCUCAUGGAUCGAUGAAGACCGCAGCAAAAUGCGCGUCAUAAUGUGAACUGCAGGACACUUACUGCUUCUUUAAUGUGAUGGUCCCAUCAUAUUUUCUUCGUUUUCG